GGAGUUCUUCCCUCUAAAAAUGGUGGUCUGCAAGAAGCUUGUGAUCCAGGUUGUUUAUGCACUGAUUUGCAGUGAAAAACCAAAAAAGAAUAAAAAAGAAUAUGGAGGAGAGAAUGUUCGGGGAGACGAGGGCAGCAAGGAUUGUCUGUUCUGCAGAGAGAGUUGGAGACCAGGUUUUUUCGUUACAUCAGAAUUCUUCCGAAUGGAAUAUGGCGAGCCACCCAAAGUUUAAAGAGUGUUCCUUUAUGAGAGUGUUGCUUGCAUUACAGAGGGAAGCAUCUUCACCAGAAAUCUCUUCUAACCAUCUGAAAGUGUGGUAGGAUUGUUCGGAGCCUCGUGAUACUUUAUUUUUUCAUUGGAAUUCCAUCUAUACUGUGACUAAGGACAUUUUUUCUUCCCGGGUGAACAUUUUUUGUCUUAUCGAGAAAGACAAGAAAAAAGUUGCACCCAACAAUAAAUCUGAGCUCAGCUGAGACUUACAUUAUCAACUGAACAGAAUUCAGAGUUUAACAGACUAUUACACAUACACUGACAACAAAACACUAACACCACAUCUUUUGUUUGAAAUUAAUGUUUAAUGUUCUUUUUUUUUUUUUUUUUACAUUUAUUAAUACAGUUAUAUUUACUGCACUUACCUUUGAUGUUCUUGUGUGACUUACUACUGAAGUUGUGAAUUCACUUUACUAUUGGCCCUUUAUUCUAAAGUUAGUCGGACCUAAUGUGUACUUACCCAAAGAAGGGUUACACAUGCAAUAACGGUCAGCAACCCGAUUCGAGCCUGAUGGUAGCUGACAAACUGUAAGGUUUUGGUCCAGGUUCGGGUCAGUUUUUCAAGUACAGCGCAAGUUAGGGGCUGUUCACACAUAUUUUUGCUUGUGUCUGCACUGUUUUUCAAUUGUUUCUCUAUGUAAACAUGUGCUGGACUCAAUUUGACAAUUGUGCCGCAUCUCACUUUUUUUCUUUUUUUCAGUCUCGUGCAGGGCUGCUAUUUUUUUUGGACACCGUGUCAAUUUAUAAAGAACAUACAGUUUUUUAAAACGUAUAUUGAGACUCCUCUGUUCUAUUUCGUUUGUUGCGCUAUGUUUAGCUUUUUUUACGCAGUCAUCACACAGCUUCAACAUCCUUAAGAUAUUCCAGUUCCAAAGUUUCAGCACUUGAUAAAAGCUCCUCAGUGGUCAGGCUGUUUCUGAUCCAAACUAUUCUGUGGCUUCAGCUGAGAAAACACAAAGGAAGGCCAAAAUAAGCAGCAGCUGCUUGCUUUUCAGCACCGCUGGCUGGAAUUGACAGUUGGAGACCCUGCCCAUAGAAAACGGCAGGAGAGAAGGAAAGAAGGGGAUAGAAAGAAAUAGAAGAGCAAAAUGUGCCACUCACACCUCAGAAAGUCUCUCUCUUGUUUCCUCGCUGUGUUACCGCCUUUCUCUGCCGGAUAAAUGCACAUGCACACAAGGGGUGAAUCCCAUGAAGCCUGUCUAGAAAAUGUCUAGGAAAUAUUACUCCAAAAUGAAAUGAAAGAAGUAAUAAAUGAUAGUUUUCUUAAAAGGAAAUGAAGCUUGCAUUAAGAUUUUUUUGCAUUUACAGUGGACAGAACAUAAGUGAACAUUACUGUAUCAUAGUAAAGAGGAUCAGUAGGGCUUUACAAUGAGAUUGCAAGCAUUAACAUUAGUUAACUACUUAAUUAAA